GUGAGGAAUAUUGGACAAUGGGCGAGAGCCUGAUCCAGCCAUGCCGCGUGCAGGAAGACGGCCCUAUGGGUUGUAAACUGCUUUUACAGAGGAAGAAACACUCCCUUGCGAGGGAGCUUGACGGUACUCUGCGAAUAAGGAUCGGCUAACUCCGUGCCAGCAGCCGCGGUAAUACGGAGGAUCCAAGCGUUAUCCGGAAUCAUUGGGUUUAAAGGGUCCGUAGGCGGGACAAUCAGUCAGCGGUGAAAGUCUGUGGCUCAACCAUAGAAUUGCCAUUGAUACUGUUGUUCUUGAAUACUUAUGAAGUGGUUGGAAUAUGUAGUGUAGCGGUGAAAUGCAUAGAUAUUACAUAGAACACCGAUUGCGAAGGCAGAUCACUAAUAAUUUAUUGACGCUGAUGGACGAAAGCGUAGGUAGCGAACAGGAUUAGAAACCCUAGUAGUCC
rnacentral:rRNA from 1 species